rnacentral:rRNA from 1 species
UUAGGAAUCUUGGGCAAUGGGCGCAAGCCUGACCCAGCCAUGCCGCGUGUGUGAAGAAGGCCUUCGGGUUGUAAAGCACUUUCAGCGGUGAAGAAAAGCUCAGGGCUAAUACCCUUGAGUCUUGACGUUAACCACAGAAGAAGCACCGGCUAACUCCGUGCCAGCAGCCGCGGUAAUACGGAGGGUGCGAACGUUAAUCGGAAUCACUGGGCGUAAAGCGCGCGUAGGCGGUUUGUUAAGUGGGAUGUGAAAUCCCCGGGCUUAACCUGGGAAUUGCAUUUCAAACUGGCCGACUAGAGUACGGUAGAGGGAGGUAGAAUUUCCUGUGUAGCGGUGAAAUGCGUAGAUAUAGGAAGGAAUACCAGUGGCGAAGGCGGCCUCCUGGAUCGAUACUGACGCU